rnacentral:rRNA from 1 species
UACAGAGGGGGCAAGCGUUAUUCGGAAUUAUUGGGCGUAAAGGGCGCGUAGGCGGGGAGGUAAGUCGGGUGUGAAAUCCCUCGGCCCAACCGAGGAACUGCGCCCGAGACUGCUUCUCUUGAGUCCCGGAGAGGAAGAUGGAAUUCCCGGUGUAGCGGUGAAAUGUGUAGAGAUCGGGAGGAACACCGGUGGCGAAGGCGGUCUUCUGGACGGUGACUGACGCUGAGGCGCGAAAGCGUGGGGAGCAAACGGG